AACAAAUGAUUUCGACUCAUUAAACUAUGAAUAUAUCAUAAUUNCCAA
rnacentral:tRNA from 1 species